rnacentral:rRNA from 1 species
AGUGAACGCUGGCGGUAGGCCUAACGCAUGCAAGUCGAACGGCAGCACAGUAAGAGCUUGCUCUUACGGGUGGCGAGUGGCGGACGGGUGAGGAAUACAUCGGAAUCUACUUUUUCGUGGGGGAUAACGUAGGGAAACUUACGCUAAUACCGCAUACGACCUACGGGUGAAAGCAGGGGAUCUUCGGACCUUGCGCGAUUGAAUGAGCCGAUGUCGGAUUAGCUAGUUGGCGGGGUAAAGGCCCACCAAGGCGACGAUCCGUAGCUGGUCUGAGAGGAUGAUCAGCCACACUGGAACUGAGACACGGUCCAGACUCCUACGGGAGGCAGCAGUGGGGAAUAUUGGACAAUGGGCGCAAGCCUGAUCCAGCCAUACCGCGUGGGUGAAGAAGGCCUUCGGGUUGUAAAGCCCUUUUGUUGGGAAAGAAAAGCAGCAGGUUAAUACCCCGCUGUUCUGACGGUACCCAAAGAAUAAGCACCGGCUAACUACGUG